AUUGAACGCUGGCGGCAUGCCUAACACAUGCAAGUCGAACGGCAGCAUGAGGUGUAGCAAUACACCUUGAUGGCGAGUGGCGGACGGGUGAGGAAUGCAUCGGAAUCUGCCCAGUCGUGGGGGAUAACGUAGGGAAACUUACGCUAAUACCGCAUACGACCGUGAGGUGAAAGCGGGGGAUCGAAAGACCUCGCGCGAUUGGAGGAGCCGAUGCCGGAUUAGCUUGUUGGUGGGGUAACGGCCCACCAAAGCGACGAUCCGUAGCUGGUCUGAGAGGAUGAUCAGCCACACUGGGACUGAGACACGGCCCAGACUCCUACGGGAGGCAGCAGUGGGGAAUAUUGGACAAUGGGGCAACCCUGAUCCAGCAAUGCCGCGUGUGUGAAGAAGGCCUUCGGUUGUUAAGU
rnacentral:rRNA from 1 species